rnacentral:snRNA from 1 species
AUCGCUUCUCGGCCUUUUGGCUAAGAUCAAGUGUAGUACAAGCUAUAUAUCCAGUUGGUGAAAAACACACACACACAACAGUGCUGCCUGAGGUGUUUUUAAGACUUUAUCUAAUUCUGCUCUUUUGAUUCAUUGAUGUAAAUCUUU